CUCAUAUGUUUUUUGACUGACUGACCAUUGAUUGAGAUCCAUAACUUACAGUGUUCACCUCAGUUACACCACCAUUAUUGUCAGAACUUGUCAGGUUUCUGUCCUAUAUAUCCUCACUUCAUUCAGCACCACCUGCUAAUUAAUUUCCUUAGCUUGUUGAACAGGUACGUUUAGUACAAGCUCUGUGCUUCCCUGGAAGAAGAUUCAAACCUUAUUCCUUUUGGUAUGCAUGAACUUUAUUGAACUUUAUCCUGAGACUACUAAUACAGGUGAAUCUCUUGAUCCUGUCUAUACCAAACUUAUUCCUCAAGUGGAACUAACAGCCAUCCGCUGCAUUUGCUGUGUUCAGCACCUACCUCUCUCACUAGACCGGAGUUCCGGAUCACUCUGAACUGCACCUCUGCAGUCAUCUGCAAGACUGACCUCUUCAUAUGUCCACUUUGGUGCUCCAUACUUUCCUCUGCAUAUGCGCAGUUGCGAUGGAUGGAUGCCAUACAGUUCAAAGGCAGAUUUUGCUGCUCUUGGGAGACACAUUUAUAGGGAUUUAUCAAGGCCAAGAGGGAGGAUUCCUCGCUAUAUGCGGCCUGUCUCUAUGGCCACACCGCAGAGCAAUUACUCCCCCCCUGCUGCCAUUAAGUCUUUUGGCCAAUCCGAUGGGGGAGGAGUCAGGGACUGAAUCGGAUGACCUUGAUAUCCAAGCUGAAAGAGAGGAAUCCAUUGGCGAGGAUGCUGCCACAGCCCUAUAACCAGCGAUGGAGGAUCAUGAGGUGGCUGCAGCAGAAUCUCGCAAUCAGGGGACCCAUACAGACCCUUUCCUGCUGAAACUAUUUGGCCAACUUACGGAGGGGCUGCGAAUUGUUGCUGAUGCAGUUCGGGGAAUACAAGAGGCCUUAAAGUGAAUGUAAAGUUUGCGGAAUGAGUGCCUGGUUUUAAAAAAAAAUCUUUUAAAACAGCGACACUUUCUUUCAUCAAACCUUACAUUUCACUGGU